rnacentral:rRNA from 1 species
AACGAGCGCUGGCGGCAUGCCUAACACAUGCAAGCCGAACGAGAUCUUCGGGUCUAGUGGCGCACGGGUGCGUAACGCGUGGGAAUCUGCCCUUUGGUUCGGAAUAACAGUUGGAAACGACUGCUAAUACCGGAUGAUGACGAAAGUCCAAAGAUUUAUCGCCAAGAGGAUGAGCCCGCGUAGGAUUAGCUAGUUGGUGUGGUAAAGGCGCACCAAGGCGACGAUCCUUCGCUGGUCUGAGAGGAUGAUCAGCCACACUGGGACGGAGACACGGCCCAGACUCCUACGGGAGGCACCAGUGGGGAAUAUUGGACAAUGGGCGAGAGCCUGAUCCAGCAAUGCCGCGUGAGUGAUGAAGGCCUUAGGGUUGUAAAGCUCUUUUACCCGGGAUGAUAAUGACAGUACCGGGAGAAUAAGCUCCGGCUAACUCCGUGCCAGCAGCCGCCGUAA